ACGAGAGACAGAGAGGAAGAGAGGGAGGGUGAACAAGAGGGGAACGGAAGAGGAUGGAUUUUGCCUUUUCUGGUAGCUAGAGCGAACUAGAGAAGCUCUUUGUGUUGGAAGUGGUGCUGAGACAGAAACAAGGAGAGAGCGGCUGAAAGGCUGGAAUGGUGUGAGAGCACAGAGAAGCAGACUCCUCCAGGGCUUUUUGUUGCUGUAGUAAGUGCCACACCUCCAGGACUGAACCAUGGAUGACGACUUUGAGUUGCGCAGGGAGCAGAGGAGACAGAAGAGAGAGGAGAUGCGGCUGGAAGCAGAAAGGAUGGCCUACCGCCGGACUGAAGAGGAUGAGGAAGAGGCAGCUCGUGAGCGUCGGCGAAGAGCACGCCAAGAACGUAUUCGAUACAAGGAUGGCGAGGAGGUAGCUAACCCAGCAGAGAGCGUGGGGCAGAACAGCCACAGUGUCACAGUAACAGAGACAGUGUCGAGCUCCGAGAUGAGCUCGGGCAGGGCCGGUGAGGGAGAUGAUGAUGAGCUGGCCCUGCUUGACCGUCUGGCCAAGCGUGAGGAGCGCAGGCAGAGAAGGAUGAAGGAGGCAAUGGACAGGCAGAAACAGCUGGAGUCCAUCGACGCUCCAUCCUACAGCUCCUACAGUGUGGAGAGUUCUUCUACCACCUCUUACCGAGCAUUCAAUGACCAGGAGGACGAGUCAGCACUCAACAGCAAGGAGGAGGUGAAAGAGGACCUGAAGGAGGAGGUCAUUCCACAGAAGGAGGUGGUGGAGGAGAAGCCACGCAGGUCUUACUUGAGGGAGCAGGAAUCCACUGAGGAAAAAGCUAAAAUAGAAGAUGAGGGCAAUACUGGUCAGGAUGCUGUGCGUCCAAGUGAUAAAUGCAAGUCUUUAAAUGAAGACCUAGCUGAUUCUACAGUCAUUUCAAAGCAGGAAGUGGAGGAGGCUGUGGCAGAAGUCGAUGAGGAUGUAGAGGAAGUAGAGGAGAAUGAGUUAGAGAUGGAGGAUGAGUACGCAGGGAGGAAGAGCAAGCAGCAGAACGGGGGAGUGUAUGAGGACAGCAAACACAAACAGGUGGAGAGAACUCAGAGCCGUGGCAGCGUGCACUCUUCCGAAGGUCCGCCAGCAGAGGAAGGGGACGACGGGGAGCAAACACGCCUGGAGGCUGAAAGGAAGCUGGAGGAGCUGAAGAGGAGGAGAGACGAGACUGAGAGCGAGGAAUUUGAGAGGAUGAAACAGAAGCAACAGGAGGCCGAGGCCGAGCUGGAGGAGCUGAAGAGGAAGAGGGAGGAAAGGAGGAAGGUACUGGAGGAAGAAGAGAGGCUGAAGAAGCAAGAGGAGGCUGAGCGGAAGGCAAGAGAGGAGGAGGAGAAGAGGAGAAUGAAGGAGGAGAUAGAGAGGAGGAGAGCGGAGGCAGCUGAACGGAGGCAGAAGGUCGAGGAAGAGGUAGACGGAGAAGCCAGCAAGCCCUUUAAAUGUGUUAGCCCCCGAGGAUCCUCUCUGAAGAUUGGUGAAAGGGCAGAAUUCCUCAACAGGUCAGCGCAGAAGAGUGCCGUGAAGGCGUCUCAGUCUCCCGUGGUGUCAAAGAUAGAUAACAGAUUGGAGCAGUACACCACGGCUGUGCAGAGUAAUAAAGAGGUGCGCUCACCACGCGUGGCUGCAAUCGACCUGCCUGUAGUUUCUGAUGGUGUGCGGAACAUUAAGAGCAUGUGGGAGAAGGGCAACGUUUUCAGUUCCACCAUCAGCACACCCUCCAGCAACAAGGAUGCAGCUGGAAUAAAGGUGGGCGUUGCAGGCCGCAUCAACGAUUGGCUGAAUAAAACACCAGAGAGCAAAACGCCAGGAGGAAGACCUGGGCUACAAGACCUGAAACCUGGCGAUGUUAGUGGCAAGCGCAAUCUAUGGGAAAACAAAAGCUCCUCUGCUACCAAGACUUCUUCCUGCUAGUUGUCUUCAGAUUUGGCUCCUUGAGGAGGUGACAAGCAGAGGAGAGAGCAAAUCUGUUGCCAAUGGAAUGGGUCACUAACCUUUCCAAGAAGCCGCAGCACCAGGGACCAAGUGAAAGCACCAUAUUCCUGUCACAUGCAUGUACUCAUACCAAAAAUACCAAAAAUAAUCUUUUAUGUUUUCUUUGGCUCCAGACCACAUGGUCCUGAUUACAGAAUAGUGUUUCAAAUGAAGCCACUUUUAUAGUGAGAAAUGUGGACAUUUAGAUCAACUGAAAAUACUGAGCAGUUCAAAAAUGACCCAUUUCCUUUAGCUGGAUUAGACAUAUUUAAAUACCGUGCAUAAUUUCACUCAUAAUUUUAAACAGCUUAUAAUGUGUUGCUUUUUUAGAAUCUCUUCUCUGCUAGUCACCCUUCACACCUUUUAAUUUAUAAUUAAAGCGAAGCUUGACAUAUUCAUAUUUUAUUCAUGUUCACCAGUCCAGGGCAAAAUAUGGGCACCCAUAGAGUAGUGUAUUUUUUACUUUUACUCUUUUUUGGGGGGGUCAAAGUGACACAUUUUUAAUAGUGAAACUAUGGUCUUAAUAAUAUAUGUUAGCACAUAGUGUAUGUUUUGUAAUUAACUAUAUAUUUUGUAUGUUUCCACUUUAUAUAAACUGACAUUCCUGCUUCUGCUCUCAAUAUUAAGCUCAGAUUACAGCCAUUAUAGACAUUAAUGAUUAUUAUCACAGUAACUUCUUCAUUUUUGUUUCAAGUGCUUUUUAGUCAGUAUAUUCAACAUGAUGUAUCACAUUUCAAGUAGACAUAAACGCUUUGCUCUGCACUGAAUAAAGGGAACAUGGAGGGAAAAAAAGACUUUCACAAACAUUUCUCUGCAUAUAAUACUUGCUUGAGUUGCCAUUAUCAUUUUGAAAGUGUGUUCAGUAUGUAAAAGGACAGAUGGCUCUAAGCCAUUACUGUGGACCAAUUAACGUUGUCUGUUUGUUCUUUUUUUUCAUUCACCCUUCAGCACUUCAUUUAGAGUAGAACCCUGGAUAUUGUCAACAGUAUAAUUGGACUGUAGUAUGUGCUGGUGGACAGACAGUCAGUGGCUUUUUGAAUCAGCAGGUUUCACUGGUUAAUGUUUAUGUGACUGACGGUAGAUUGUGGCUUGUGUUGUGUUGUUGGGGUUAGUUUCCCCGAUUUAGUAUUUUGGUUCAUGUUUUAAAAUGUGAAAACGUCUGAGUUUUGGUCUUUGACAAUCAAUUAAAAGACAAAGUUGUACUCUGUAUAUUUUCCAUAAUGAACCUUGACUGUAUUGGGGUAAUUCUCUGCAAAUCAUGCCAACUUUAAUUCUUUACCUUUUAACACUCUGACCAUUUAUUGUAACCAAGUUUCACACAGGACAUCUUUUAAAUAUUGUAUCAUUCUCUCAAAACAGCAAUAAAGAGAUCAAUGUAAAAAAAAAAUUUAAAAAA